GUCGGCAUAUUAUUUGUAGGCAUGGCUGUUGCUUACUACUCAGGAAACUGUGCUUCAAAAGCACAUCUCUAGCCAGUUGGUACAUAAACAUUCCCAUUCCGGAGGUAUUUGAUACAUGCCAGGUAUAACACACCAACUCAUCAAACUGAUAUCUACCUUCACUAUAUAAAUGCUUAGCACACAAAUGGCUACUUAUUACAGAUAUGGGAACAGCCAUAUGAAGUAGAAUGGCACGGAUCAAAUGCAAGGGCUGACCCUGUUGAGAUAACAUUGCAUGCUUUGUGCAAAGAAGAAAGAGAUUUCACUAUGGGAAAGUACUAUAAGAUGACAUUUAUUGUCACAGAGGUCGAGAAUUCUGAUGGCUGCUGUUCACGACCUGCAAGGUAUGCUGGAAAAAUAUCCCUAAUGGAAAUGCUUAC